UACAGAGGUGGCAAGCGUUGUUCGGAAUUACUGGGCGUAAAGGGCGCGUAGGCGGCCUUGUAAGUUGGGGGUGAAAGCCCGUGGCUCAACCACGGAAUUGCCUUCGAUACUGCUUGGCUUGAGACCGGAAGAGGUGAGUGGAACUGCGAGUGUAGAGGUGAAAUUCGUAGAUAUUCGCAAGAACACCAGUGGCGAAGGCGGCUCACUGGUCCGGAUCUGACGCUGAGGCGCGAA
rnacentral:rRNA from 1 species